UUCAGUUUAUUCUCACUGGUACAGAACACAGUUUCAGUUUAUUCUCACUGGUACAGAGCACAGUUUCAGCUUAUUCUCACUGUUGUGCAGAGAAUAAAGCCACAGAAUGCUCUUCCUGGAGCACACAGCUGAUAUUUUGCCCUCAUUUCUAUGGCUUAACAUCAAAGUCCUAUUUAUUAAUGCCAUCAGUGCGAAUUGAUUUUGGGCCGUAUGGAAGAUCAGCCUCGAUCAAUACCUUGCAAAAAUAGCUAUUAAAUUCUUAUACUUUCAGAAGCUUGGAGGAAAA